rnacentral:rRNA from 1 species
UACGAGGGGGGCAAGCGUUGUUCGGAUUUAUUGGGCGUAAAGGGUGCGUAGGCGGUUUGGCAAGUCUUGUGUGAAAUCUUCGGGCUCAACCCGAAGCCUGCACAAGAAACUGCCGGGCUUGAGUAUGGGAGAGGUGAGUGGAAUUUCCGGUGUAGCGGUGAAAUGCGCAGAUAUCAGGAGGAACACCGGUGGCGAAGGCGGGUCUCUGGGCCGGUACUGACGCUGAGACGCGAAAGCGUGGGGAGCGAACAGG